rnacentral:rRNA from 1 species
UACAGAGGUCCCGAGCGUUGUUCGGAUUCAUUGGGCGUAAAGGGUGCGUAGGCGGCGGGGCAAGUCUGAUGUGAAAUCCCGGGGCUCAACCCCGGAACUGCAUUGGAUACUGCCUUGCUUGAGUACUGGAGAGGAGACUGGAAUUUACGGUGUAGCAGUGAAAUGCGUAGAUAUCGUAAGGAAGGCCAGUGGCGAAGGCGAGUCUCUGGACAGUUACUGACGCUGAGGCACGAAGGUCAGGGGAGCAAACGGG